rnacentral:rRNA from 1 species
AUGGAGUUAACAUGGAGAGCGAAGGUGGUAGGCCCAACCUUGCCAUCAUACUACCUUGAUGAUAAUCGCUUACCAUCCAACAAGUCUUAUGGUUUCAACUUGUUCAGUGCUGAUGCAUUAUGCAUGGAUUGGUUAGAGAAGCAUAGCAUUUCCUCUGUUGCGCUUGUAUCCUAUGGGACCGUCUCUAACUAUGAUGCAACCCAGUUAGAGGAACUUGGCAGUGGGCUAUGCAAUUCUGGCAAACCAUUUCUUUGGGUUGUAAGAUCAAACGAGGCACACAAGUUAUCUAAAGAAGUCAAACUGAAAUGUGUGAACAACGGACUAAUUGUUGAGUGGUGCCCCCAACUUGAGGUUUUGUCACACAAGGCAAUCGGUUGUUUUGUUACCCACUGUGGAUGGAACUCAACAUUGGAGGCAGUUGUUAGUGGUGUUCCUCUUGUGGGAAUCCCACAUUGGGCGGACCAACCCACCAUAGCGAAGUAUGUGGAGAGUGUGUGGGGAAUUGGUGUGCGAGUACGGAAGGGCCAGAAUGGGUGGCUAAAGAGGACAGAGGUCGAGAGGAGUAUUAGAGAGGUGAUGGAUGGAGAUAGAAAGGAUGAGUUCAAAAGAAAUGCUGCAAAGUGGAUGAGAAAGGCGAAGAAUGCAAUGCAGGAAGGAGGGAGCUCAGAUAAGCAUAUUGCCGACUUUGCUGCAAAGUAUACGGCAAUAUGA